rnacentral:rRNA from 1 species
UAAUACUAGAGCUAAUACAUGCUGGUAGGCCCGACUUUUGCGGAAGGGCGGGAUUUAUUAGAUAAUAAGCCAAUAUUCCUCUUGUCUAUUGUGGUGACUCAUAAUAACUGAUCGAAUCGCAAGGCCUUUGGUCGCGAUAAGUCAUUUAAGUUUCUGCCCCAUCAGCUUUCGAUGGUAGUGUAUUGGACUACUAUGGCGUUUACGGGUAACGGAGGAUUAGGGUUCGAUUCCGGAGAGGGAGCCUGAGAAACGGCAACCACAUCUAAGGAAGGCAGCAGGCGCGUAAAUUACCCAAUCCUGACUCAGGGAGGUAGUGACAAGAAAUAACAGACCGAGGCCUUCGGGCUUAGGGAUU